rnacentral:lncRNA from 1 species
GCCUGUGGAAGAUGUCGAGGAUGGAGAGCUAUUUGCCGAUGGCUGUGUAAGCACUUUUGGUUUGUACCAUGCACAAGGGUCAUUCGCUCUAAUACUGCUUAAUCCAUCGGAAGAGGAAGCAAGUCGCAGCACCUCCUCGAUGGACACCUGAAAUCAUAUUAGAAAAGAAACACAAAAGAACAUUGUGCUUUAGGUGGAAAAGUCUAUAUAUUUGCUCUCUAAUUAGAAUGCCUUUACAAGAUCCAAUUGGGCUCUUAUUUAUAGCCUUCCAGGCUUACAGAAAAAUAAGAAGAAACAUACUUGAAAAACCACCUCCUUAUCCUAUCCUUAUCCAAAGUAGUUAAAAUAGUUUUGAUCCUUCUUCUGAUAUGCUGAAACAACCUCGAUCCUUAUCCCAACCGAAGUAUCUGGAACCACCUCUGUUUCCUCUAUCUUAUCCACAAUGGUUGGAACUAACUCUACAUUCUUCCGAUCAUCCCAGAUCAGCGGUCGAGACAACCAUCUUGUACAUCAGUAUUUCUAUCGAAAGAAGAAAAAGGUUAUGAUCAAAAAGAAGAAGAACCAACCUCAAUCCAAAUCUAUAGUUAAUAUGAUAAAAUGUGAACCAUCCACC